rnacentral:lncRNA from 1 species
GUGAAUUUACAUUGCUUCUUUAGUUUUUGCUCAUUCUUCAGUGUUUGCUUUUCUUUUAAUUAAUCUAAUUAGAUGUUUGUUUCUUUUUCAUGUUCAUCUGCAGCCAAAAUACCUGCAGAGGUUCAUCAAGUAAGAAUAAAAACUCUCUGAGCUUCGUAUUUUAAAUAUGCUUGCUAGCUGAAAUUUUUUUGAGUUUCAGAAACAGAUGGAGACAGGCGCGAGCAUGGUCACUUGAACUCGUUAUGUUAAAGGUGGUGGUUUGCAUGGAUGGAAUCUUAUGUGUAAAUUGACGAGAAGAGGGGUAAAUGUCCUUGUGCAGACUUUUCUUUGGCCGGGUGUAUCAGACUAAACAGGAUCAAUCUGGUACAAUCAAAAUUUAUUUUAUUAUUAUUUUUCAGGAACAAUUAAUUAAUGGUAUGUACUUCACCUACAAGCUUUUGAUUAUUAUUGUUGGGUUUGAAGUCUUUACCAGAAAUCUGUGCUUGAAGAUGUCAUAAGUUCUUUUCGGAGAAAAGGCUAUGUUUUCCAGAUAGAGAUGAUUGUUCAGGCCUCACAAAGAAAAGGUAGUUGUGAUAUGUAAUCUGCAAUUUUUGAUAAGGUUCUCCAUAUGAAUGCUAUAUUUUCGUCUUAUCAACAUGAGGUAGCUACUUCAUCAGUGGAGUUGUGAAAACUGUUGGUAAUUUUGUGAGAAUGACAGGGCUUCAAACUACUACUUGGAAAUAUACGGUGCAACUGCAAAGAUGGGAUUAAAAGACUUGCUGUUAAAAAAUAGUCAAUGAGACCAUGCUCAAGCUUGGAGAAAGCUGUUUGAAGCUCGCAAUUUAUGAUUUUAAAGUGUAUUACUAGAUUUAAUAUUCGAUCAGUUUGAAGUGAAACCUUUAAUUAUUGUUAAUUAAAAUUGCUUCGUUGUAUGUGAAUUCUUUUGGUACUAAUGCUCCAAUUAAAAAUGUGAUAGGCCACCAAUUAACAUGAUAUAUGCAAGGCAUGAUUAGGUGAAACAGGGCAGGGACAAUAAGGGAAACAAACCAGUGUAGCAAGAGGGAAAACACGUGAGCUUGCAACCAACUGCAUGUGCAGACCGUUAAGAGGGAAAUUCCAGAAGAAUACCAACUACUAUAAAAGGCAGGAAAGAAGCAACAAGAAGUGCAGGAAGAAUCUAGCAUACCUGAGGAGAGAAUGAGCCUCUCGAAUAGCUCAUAUUUCUUGUAUUUUUUAUUUCUUUAGUUUCAAUCCAGUGUAAUCGUUCAUUUGAAUCAAAUUUUCAUAGUACAGCUCUUCAUUUAAGCC